CUGGCUGCUGUUUUUGUCUUCCAAUACGCUUUGGGCCUGACAGGGUGCCUUGAGGCGGCUCCUGCCAACUCCCAAAGAGAGAAAGUAGCCCUCACGGAGACCUUUUGUUUGAAAAGAACAUGGAGGCCAGGCAUCGCUCGCUGAUUGACUUGCAGGUAAGGAUGGAAGUUUCUCAUUUUUCUAAUCUUAAGUUUUCCACAUUUUCACACCAGUUCAUUGUUGUUGUUUUUCAGAAGGGGGGUGGGGAGUCUUCAUGGAAAUUUAUCAGCAUUUGAGUACAAAUUUCUCCUAAGACACAUUUUUAAGAGCAAUUUCCCCAAUGCAAUUCAUUUUUUUAUUAUGCUUCCACUAACAUAUAUAUUUUAAUGCACAUUUUACCUCAGAAUAUGCAUUUUUUUUACACAUCUCAGCUUGAGAGCUGCAUUGCAAAAUCCAGAGAACUGCACAUUUUCAAAGUUGACCGUGUUUUUGUUUUGUUAGGGUGGUAAACUUUUAGAUGAGAAAUGAAUCUACAAUACAAAUCGGCACACAUCUCACCUACCCCAAAGCCAGCAACAUAAAAUCAAUAUAAAGCUAUCAUAAGAAUUUGCAAAUGGAAAAGAUAUUUGGUGCGAGUCUUUUCAGAACAGCAAGAAUGCAUACCUGUCAUAAGUUGAAAGGUUUGGGGAAGUGAAAAAUGCCUUCACUGGCACCUAAAAAUUCAUAACAUAAGCACCAGUCAAGUCUAUGAGGAAGCUAUUCCAGAAAUUACUCCAGUCAUAAUAUGGUUCGAUGCCAAACAAAUUGUUGAAGAAACAAACCUGUAUUAUUUAAUUAGUACAAGCAAUAUAUUGUACAUAUGAAAUAUAGAGAAGCUAUAAUUAGGGAAACAGUUCCAUAAAUAAAAGUAAAAGAAUGUAGACAAAAUAUUAGGAAGAACUUGAUGAAGUUUGAGCCAUCAGUUGAUAGAACAGAAGGAAAUGGACACUUUUUCACUGAAGCAGAGGCUGGCGGGAAGGUUGCAUUCAGCUGUUUUACUCAGAGUAGAUCCACGGAAAUUAAUGAACAUGACCAAGCUAGGUCAAUUAAUUUUUAUAAGUCUACUCUGGAUAAAAUUUAGCUCCUGGAUGGCAAACUUCAAUGGGCUUCCUGCAUUGGGAGAGGGAUGGGCUCAGGACCGUUGAGGUCCUUUUCAACUCUAUAAUUGUAAAGGUGGUGUCUCCCCUUCGCAGUAACUCUGGCACAGUCAGCUUGGUAUUUACAGUAUUUAUUACAUAUGUACAAGAAACAGCUACAGUUCAGAAUUAUGCAUCCAAACCCAUUGAGUCAGAUUCAGGGAGUGGCUUCCUUCAAUUCCCGCGCCAAUAAAGUAGGCAUGGGAAUCGCGCGAGACAUCUUUGAUGCUUACUUUUCAUUUCCUUCCUUGUCUGUGCUGAUGUGAAAGCAACCUCCCUUCCAGAGUCUGAGCUCCCUUCCCGAGCCUCUGGGUGGUUGAAGAGCUCCACAGCAUCCUGAGCCCCUGCUCCGCCUCUUCUGUCACUUGCUCCUUCGAAUUCUCUCUGACAAUAAUUCUACAUAAGGGCAUUGUUAGAGAGGGGCCCAUGCCCCUGGUCUUUUGGACUGGGCCCCAUAUCUCAUGUCCCAUCAUAUAUAUAAAUAAUCUACAGACAUACACACUUGCAGAGCUGAUGCAUUUGUCAUGCAGAUUUGUUUCAUAGUCAUGUGCCCUCUUUUAAAUACGUAUAAAUGUCCCUGAUUCUAUGACUGGGCUGGUCCAGCAGUGGCCCUGGCAGUCAACAAUCUACUAGAUUAAUGGUCUUCAACAGAUGAGCCAGGACCCACUACUAAGUUGCAACAUGACCUAAGGUGGGUCACAACAGCCCUAAAGACAUGGUAAAAAAGAGAAGUGGGUGUCCAAAUGCACAUUUGGGUUAAAGGUGGUCCUGGGUCUGCAAAGGUUGAAGACAACUUUAAGCUACAACAGCAACCCAAUAGGUGUGCAGGAUACAUUGCAGGACUUCUGCAGAGCAUAUACAGGUCCAAUGUACAACAGUUCCUGUCAAAUUCACAACCGCAAAACUACACAAAGCAAUAAAGUUAAGUUAACAUAAAUAGUAAAGGAGGUACUUGGUGUCUUAAUUCAUGAUAAAUCACCCAGGUGGUUUCAUGUUAGCUUUUCUGGAUCUGUGCCUACGGAGAAUGAUGGUGUGUGCGAAGUGUGAUGUCACUACUUUCCAUAUAUAUAUAUGGUGAUUAAUCUUCAUCAGGCAUGCUUUUACAAAGCUCCCAGUGAAGCAAUGCUCUCAACAUUACAUCAGUAAUUUUUAAUCCUGAUUGUUUCAGUUGCCCUGGAGAACUCACAAAAUUAAGCCGUUACAAUGCUAGCCCAAUCAUGUACAGAAUUUGUUAAUUGCCAUAUACAUACUGUUAUUGCAUGCAUGCAUGCAUUCAUACAUACAUACAUAACAAGUAUGUGGCAUGGAAAUCAAGUAGCUGCAUAUUCAGAUUAUUUAGUAAUGUGCCCAUGCAACUGACAUUCACAAAAACAGCCCAAAUGAGCCUGCAAUAUAUAUGUGUGUGUAUAUUAGCAAUCUGUUUGGGAGGCAAGCACUCUGAGGCAUGCACAGAGCUCCCCAGCCAGAGUGCUGUUCUUUGGAGAGACCACUCUGCAUGCGUCCCCAUUCAUUUCAGUCUAGGAACAUCAGCAGACACAAACCAACGGGGAUGUUAUAUAGCAGUAAGAGGUGCACACUUAGAUACACACACAUCAAACUCUAGAUUGUGGUGCAUGUGUUCAAUUUGACAUCAAUAUUUACAAGUUUCAAGGAGCAAAGAUGUUGCCUUUAUUUUAUUAUUGCUUUCUAGUUACAGGCUCUUCUUGAUAUCUCUGGGUACAAAAACACUUGAUAUGUAUUUGUUGCAACUCACCCUGCUCUACAGAGCCAAGAUUUAUCCAGCUCUCCUAGCCUCUAUCUCUGUAUUGAAGCCUAUGAGCUAAUACAGAAUACGGAAUAGUAUUUAGGUGAGGAAAAGUGGAGUGCUGCAUCUCUCCCAACAUUGAAUUGCAGGAAUCUGCUGAAGGAAGGCAAAGGUUUCUCUCUCACACACACCUUCUCUCUUCUGCUAGCUUCCAGCAGUCUAGGAUUUUUAUUUGCUGCUGGCCAUAAACUUGUGUGGACUUUUAUUUUUAUUAACAAGGCUGCAAUUUUGUAUUGUGGGCCCCACUGUCAUCCAGGGUUUUGGUGUUUCAGCAUAGACAAACAGCCACAGUGUCUUUUGACCUCUUGCCUUCCCUCAACUUACCAGUUGUCUUGCAGCUGGGUGCUGAAAAUGUCCCAUUUGUGAAAAUUGCCUAAUUUUGCAAUGUAUUCUUCAUCAUGCCUUUUGAAGAAAAAUGUAAUGGCAGCUCCUUUAAUGAAUGUAAAUGUUUCUACAGUCUGAUUCUUUUUGAAAGCUGUGCAUGUCAUCACCAGAUACACCUGUUUUUUCCUGUCAGCUUUUGAUGGCUGGCACUGCACCAAAACAGCAUUCUCUGAAUGUGUCUGGGAUCUUCUCAUAAACAGCGCUGAGAAAUGAAUGACCCCAAAACACCUGUGCCCUACAUUUUUGACUCAGGCACUUCAACUUUUUAAAUAUAUACAUACUUACAACAGUAUGCUGGGUCUCUUACUACUAAAGUGCCACUUUAGAUAUUUGAAGUUCAUAAAGAGGAAAGGGAUCAAUUUCCUCCAGGAAAGGGACCUGUUCUGUUUGAGAACCACAUCUGAAAUGGCAAACCUGAGUAGCAGGUACAGAUGGGCAAAUCGGUCAGUUCCGGUUUCUCAUUUUUUCACAAUCUUCAGGUCCAUUCUCUACAUUUCCACAUCAGUUUGAGAAAUUUUUUUUUUUAAUGUCCUCAUGAAAACUCACUAGCAUUUUAGUGUGACUUUCUUCCAAUGUACACAUUUUUGUGAAACAUUUCCACUAAUAUAAUAUAUGUUUGUGUUACUUCCACUAAUAUAUGCAAUGAUAUGCACUAUAUGCCUUUUUGUAUACAUUAGGUGGCUGGAGAACUGCCUUGCAAAAUUUGGAGAAGUGUGAAUUUUGAACAGUGGCUGUGUUUUUGUUCAUGUAUUGUUUUGGACAGUGAAUUAGGUAAGUAAGCUCACCUUUGAAUGUAAGAUCCAUCAAAUUUCUCUUCUAGCCCCAGUUACAACAUUUUAACAUGUACAAAGAUGGUAGUAAUUGAUGCUUAGUUAUGCAAAAUGCACAGAAACAUCAAAUUAACCUGUAAUAAAUUUCUAUUGGAAUUACAAGAAUAUUUAAGUUUGUUAGGAAGAGAACAUAGCUUGGCACACACCUUGGCCUUUUCAGCCCUCCAAAUUGGACUUCCAGGAGCAUCACUAGGCAUAACGCAUGAAGUUCCAUGUCCCGUUGUAGCAGGCACAGCAAUCCUAUAGUGGGGGAGCUACCACCGCUUUCAAAAUGCUUCCAGCUUCUUUGAAGUCAGUGUGUGUGAGGUAGCUUUCCCCCACCCUGCAUUUUUUUGAAACCAUGUUUUCCUUUCCACUUUCAUGAAUGAGAGAAAAUUAGCUACAUCAGUCCCAACUAGCAUAAUUGAAGGUGCUUUUGGGGGUUGUGUGUGUAUGUGUUGGCAUGACUGCCAUCAUCCAGGCCCAGUUCAAGGUGUUGAUGUUGGUGUUUAAAGCCCUAAAUGACUCAUGCCCCAAAUAUCUGAAGGACUGCCUCCUUCCCUACAGAACCUCUCAGGUGCAGAGAUCAGCAGGGGGUGCCUGUUGGUAGUUCUUGUCCCUCAGAUGCUCAGGGGGUACUGGCCUGAAGGAGGGCAUUAUCUGUGUCAGCCCCUAAUGCAGAACUCCCUGCCCAUAGAGGUGUGUCUGGCACUUUCAUUGUACAGCUUUCAAAGAAUGCUUAAGACGCACCUCAGUCUUUAUCCUGGCUUUUGAAACAUGGAAGUAGUUUAUAUUGUGUUUAUAUUGUAAGGUCUUCUGGACAGGGGCUUGCCCUCCUAUACUUUGUAAAGCACUGGGUGCAUUGAUAUAUAAACAAAUAGAACAACACCAACAAGAACUAGAACAAAAGCCCUGCUUCUCUCCCCCAACUCAACGUGAAACCAUUUUCAAGUCUUUACCACUAGAAGUGGCACUGAAUCCAUGUUUUUAAUGGAAGGUCCAGUUCUUAGAAAGAAAUAACACAUUAUAAGGCGGGGUUUCACAUUUUAUGGUAUAAUUGUGGGGAGUGAUUCCUAGGGCUGCAAACGCAUGGCAGCAAACUGUCAGAGAUGGACAACCACAGAACUUGCACAUCAGCAAUCAAUCUGUUGAAUCAGAGCUAGUCAGGAAUCCGGCUCCUGUUAACAGAAUUGUACAAAUGAUGAGGUGUGCAAAUGAAGGAAAGCCUGUUCACAUAUAUACGUACAUUCUUGGGAGCCAGAAAUGGUUCAAAGUCUAUUCCUGAACCAGAUUCUGUCUUGUAGUUCUAUCUACUAUUCUUGGCCCUCCAAAGUCAGUCAGAACUAAUAUAGAGAUUCAGUCAAGCUACAACCCCCACCCCCCACAACACACACACAAAUCCUUGUUUGUGGGUCAGAGUUGGUUUUCUCUGCCUAAUACCAGCAGCGAGCAGUCUUGAUGUGGUCCAUUUCUGAGAGAUAUAAUGAUACCACCAAACCAGCAGGACUGGAUGCACAUAAUGAAAUGUGACAAUGUGCUCAUUUGUGAAGAGUAUAAGAGAGCCUGGGUAGUUAGAGCAACAUUUGCAUAAUCACAUUAACUUUCAGGACCCAACAAUGGCUUCCAUUGUCAAAAGCCACAGCUGUCCAUGCUGAUCCGACACGAAAUUGAGUUGUGCUGUCACAGAGCAAGCAUCUUCACAGCCAUUCAGAAUCCAAAUGUGGAAAUCAGAGGGCGGGAGAAAGUAUGACAGCUCAAUGGAGCUUUGCUUUCCAGGAACACCU